AUCGCUUCUCAGCCUUUUGGCUAAGAUCAAGUGUAGCAUAUAAUAGUAUAGUAUAGUUUGGCAGUAAUGAACAUUUCAGACUCUUCUAUAAAAUCUGUUUAGCAAGUGUAACUCAUCUAAAGAGUUCCUUUUUAGAGUUUUUAUUGACUCAUUGAGUAACAUAAAUCUUUGCAAUCAUAACGUAA